AAUACCAGUAAGGAAACUUCGACCGCUGGAUCGGUCGAGUUAAUCUCUUUGGACUUCGCGAGCCGGUGGACGGAACGUGGGAGUGGCUAUUGUCGAGGCUAACGAACGCGAGUUCUCGUCGAUUACGGUAGUUAGGAUGUUACUAGUUCUUGUGAUCAAGCGGAUAGUUUCGCUUGUUCGAGUUUCGAAAUACCGAAGACCGUUGUAUCGCUAUGGCUGAAUUUUUACCUUUAUCGCGUCUAUAAUGCGUGCGUUGUAUGUCGAGUAUAUCAGCAGUUAAAUUGUACAUCGUUUUAUCGAUUAUUGAUAUUGUUUUCAUCUGUUCGACAUACAUUAUUAUAUAUUAAUGUAUGAAUUCUUGCCUAUACGAUUUUGAAAGAAUAGUUUCUAGUUAGAUAAUUAACUCCUGCGACAUAUAUCCGAGCAUUAUAUCGAAUACGAAUCAUACAAGUGUGUUAUAAACAACGAACAUCUCAUUGCUCGUGAAACAACGUACUUGACAUUUCCUCCGUGCAUGGUUGAAACACGGACACCAGAAUGUUCGUGCUGUGUAGAAAAAUGGCGGGCUUAAUUUCAAUUUGACUCGUUGUGCGCGCGUUGAAAGCUCGCGUGAUUCUGGCACGUUCGUCGACACCGAUAGCGGAGAGAGCAGUGUUUAUCGCGAUUCUGGUUAUCGAUUCGGUGAUAGCCGAGCCGAGAGUUCCUUGAUCCCCUCCCCUUGCUCGAAACUCGCGAGAAAAACGGGUCCUCGACCGAGUCACGUGACGCACGCAUCUUUGGUAAACUGAACUCUUUCAAAAGGAGUGACACCUCUCGAAAACACUUGAUCGACAAAUUGAAAAGAGAUAGGCGCAAUAAAAAGGAAGUGCGCAGUCAACGAGACGCAUUUCGGGAGGUGGACACUCGAGGAAGAAUAGCAGAUUAGAAUGGCGGCCAUUGUGAGCUGUAAUAUCCGGCGAGACCAUGAAAGGAGCGGAUUACAGAAAUUCAUUUGCCUCUGAAUAACCGCGGUACGUGUGUCGUCCCUGCAGAAUAAACACCGGCAAUUUAAGCUCGACGAGCCUCGCUAAUACCCCGCGCGUCGAAUCGCGAUUCAUAUAAAAGUGGACUUUCGCGUAUCAGACACGGUCUAAUAACGGAAUCGUACUACCGGAUAGGUGGAAAAAUGAAAUUCAACUUGCGAAUGACAUUUGCCUAGAGGAUGGGAAUUCGGAUCAAUGCGUCGCAAUAGCGAUCGAGCUUUGUAAAGGAAUACUUGUAAAAUGAGAAUGAAGUACAAAUGCAGAGAGAAAGAAUUAAUUCUAUUAGAAGAUUGUAAAAAGAGAAACGAGCUUCGUUUCUUUCUCUUCUCUUCAUCAAAAAAAAAUGAGGAUUAAAAUAUAAUUUCCUUUCAAGCUUGCGAAUACGUUAAUUUCAAUGAAAAUAUUCCAAGUUAUUCAACAGCAUUCCAACAAAUUACGUAUAUUUCUUCGUAUCUUUAUGAAAAAUGAACCGAAACUGCAUUUCUUCCAAGGAUGGCGUGGGACGGAACGUAGAACACGGAAGGAAAGGAUUCGAUCGAACGAAAGUUUCGCGGCGAAUUAAUUAACCAGGUUGUCAUUGACACGAAGGCAAAUGGCGCAAAGACGUAUGCGUGGCGAGAGAGCGAUCAGGGUUGCGAGAUGUGCGGCGCAGGGUCAGGUUCGGAGCCUCGUGACACGGGACCUGCUCGUGCCGCUAAUAAUCGGUUUAUACACAAUGAAACGAUGACGAGGUUACAGGCUUAUUAAGGUUAAUUUCGCAGGGCUGUGCGGUGUCACGAACAGAUCGGCCUCACGUAUUCCAUUAACCACUUUUAACGUGGCCGUACCACGACGAGAAAGUGAUUCCCUCGAGCUACACGCGAGAUACAACCGAGCUUGGAAUUUUCUUCGAUCGAUGGAAUAGAGUAUUAUUAUAUAAUUUCUGAGUAUUUUGUUUGAUGAUAAUCGUAUUUUCAUUUUUUUUUUUUUUUUGAAUAACGAUAACGUAAAGGAUGCAAAGUUAUCGAUUUGUGGAAUUUUUAUACAAAGUAUAUGGUAAUGUUUUUUUUUUUUUUUUUUAUUUUCCUCCAUGGAAGAAGAGGUAGAGGAGGUAUCUCUCAUCUCGCUAAAUGGACUUCUGGAAUUUUCGAGUAAUAUGUUUUAUAAUAUUUCAUUAUUUUUCUCGAUGAAUCAAGCAAGUGGAAAUAUACAUUUGCGUAUUUAUUCCGUUUUAUUGUCACAGAAUUUCAAUUUUUAUACUCUUAUGUUAUUUCAUGCUGUUGUUGUUAUUAUUAUUAUUAUUAUUAUUAUAACAUUUUAUUUGCUUAAUACUUGCUUAGAGAAAAAAAAUGAAAAAUAGAAAUUAUUUUAUAUUUCCAUAACCAGAAAGAAUAUAAUCCUCCCAUGAAAUAAUUCCUCUAACAAUAGAUGCAUAACAGAGUCGAAUAAAUAAUUUAAGAAACGAGGGGAUAUCUUGAAACAGAAUAAAGUUAAAAAAUCUCUAAUUUAUUUCUAGCUAUAUAUAAUCGAUCGAUUUUUAUAUAAAAAAGUUAUAUAUAUAAGUUGAUACUACAAUUAUUUGCGAUUAUUAUUACGUUUUGAAAAAUAAAUUUAUCGGAGUAAUUUUAUUCCACAA